rnacentral:tRNA from 1 species
GCGCCCGUAGCUCAAUUGGAUAGAGCGUCUGACUACGGAUCAGAAGGUUGGGGGUUCAAAUCCUCCCGGGCGUA